rnacentral:sRNA from 1 species
GAGGGAAGGCAGCUCCUGGCUGUGUCUGUCCCCGGCUUUUGGGCUCUGAAGGACUAACCACGUGCUUUCUCACUUGUCUCAGAUUGCCCAGCUGCCCUUGACCGGAAGCACGAGUAUCAUCUUCUUCCUGCCCCUGAAAGUGACCCAGAAUUUGACCUUGAUAGAGGAGAGCCUCACCUCUGAGUUCAUUCAUGACAUAGACCGAGAACUGAAGACCGUGCAGGCGGUCCUGACCGUCCCCAAGCUGAAGCUGAGUUACGAAGGCGAAGUCACCAAGUCCCUGCAGGAGAUGAAGCUGCAAUCCUUGUUUGAUUCACCAGACUUUAGCAAGAUCACAGGCAAACCCAUCAAGCUGACUCAGGUGGAACACCGGGCUGGCUUCGAGUGGAACGAGGAUGGGGCGGGAACCACCCCCAGCCCAGGGCUGCAGCCUGCCCACCUCACCUUCCCGCUGGACUAUCACCUUAACCAGCCUUUCAUCUUCGUACUGAGGGACACAGACACAGGGGCCCUUCUCUUCAUUGGCAAGAUUCUGGACCCCAGGGGCACCUAAUACCCCAGUUUAAUAUUCCAAUACCCUAGAAGAAAACCCGAGGGACAGCAGAUUCCACAGGACACGAAGGCUGCCCCUGUAAGGUUUCAAUGCAUAAAAUAAAAGAGCUUUAUCCCUAA